GCGUGCAGUGCUUUCGCGAAGUCUGCGGUCGUCUUCUUUUGGCUUUCUCUUUUCCAGACGUACAUGUGGAGUGCCCAUUUAAAUACUAGAUCUGAACAGCAAAAAUGCAAAGAUCUCUCUCCCACCCACAGUGAACCUCUGGUUGCUACUCCUGCAACACUAGCUGCCUCAGCUGCUCUGGAGGGAAGAAUGGAGGCCAGAAGACAAGAGGCUGAGAUGACCCUCUAGCUCCAUUCUGGUGACCCAUCCCCUUAAAUGGGAUUGAGGCAGAGAAGAAAGAAGAGAUUUGCUGAAGAACACAGCAGGAGUCAGUGGCAAAGAGGGGUAAGGCCCAGCCACAAGUCCUAGUUGCCUGCUGUCAUGGCUAGACACUCAUUGCCCUGUUGCUCAC